GUUUGGGAUGCACUCCACGCCUGUGAGCAAUUAUUAACAUCCGAGCAAGCUCUGCCUUGUUCUUCCUGAGCCGCCGGAGCCAUGGGGAGACGGGGAUAGCCCGAUUACUGCUGAUCCGAAGUUUCACAUCCUCAUCUCUACAGCUAAACUCGACGUAGCUGCCGGGGAGGAAAAGUGGAAGAAAACGCUCAGGCUAGAAGCUGAUUGCUGCGCUCACCUGUGACCACCCAGCUCAAGACAAUAGACUUGCCUCCUGCUACGCCCUCCUCGCCCUCCGAGAUAGCAGACCCACUACCUGCUGUGUCCAUCAAGCGCUGUGCUGACAGGGCAAUCUUGUGACUAUUGUGGGAGGGACAUUUCAAUCAUAUGUGAAACGUCCUGUAUGGGGGUAUACAACUACUCUGUAUACCUCACUUCUUUGGUGCCCUUUCUUCCUUCGGGAAGAAAGGCCCCGGGCCAUGGUCCUCAGAUUUCAGCUCAGAAUAAACUCACCCAAAUUUUCAUUUAUAGAUUGGUUAUGGAUUAUUUUCGUUGACAGUAUUUUAUCUUUUAUUUUUUUGGGUGAGGAAGAUUGUCACCGAGCUAACACCUGUCACCAAUCCUCCUCUUUUUGCUCAAGGAAGAUUUUCACUGAGCUACAUCUAUCGCAAUCUUCCUCUGUUUUUUGCAUGUGGGACACUGCCACAGUAUGGCUUGAUGCACAGUGUGUAGGUCCGUGCCCAGGAUCUGGGCCCGUGAACCCUGGGCCACUGAAGCAGAGGGCAUGAACUCAGCCACUAUGCCACCGAGCUGGCUCCAAUACAAUGCACUUUCGAGCGCCUCUCACAGAGUUGGCCUGGGGGUGGUGCAGGCAGCGUGGAUAAAGAUGACUUCCGUCCAGAUACUUCUCAUUCCUUGCCUCAUCUGUCCUUUCAACAAUACUUAUUGGUCACCAAUGUGUGCCAGGUACUUUUCCCAGUGCUGAACAAGACCAAUUCCUGCUCUCAUGCAGCUGGCAGUAUAGUCAGAAGACAUAGAAAAUAAAGAAAUAACUAGAACAAACCCAUAAAAAUACAGCAUGUCUGGUGGUGACAAGUGCCGUAAAGAGAAGCCUUUGGAGUGAGAUCCUUGGGCCAGGGCCCUGCUGCAUGGUGACGCAUGAGUAGUCCUGGGCCAGCACAGCAACCGAGCCCCAACAGGUAAGCGCCCCAGGAAAUCUCAGAGCACCCUCCCAGGUGUUACUUCCACAUUUCACAACUGAGGCCGGGCCUCGCAGGUCAAGCAGAUGCACACCCAGGGCUCGCGGCUGGUGGCUCUGGAGCCCAGGUCCAUCUGACUCCAAAGCCACAUUUUUCCACUCUAGGCAAGGCUGCUCCUGGCUCUCCAAAGCCUGGUGUCUACACUCAAAAACAGAACCCCCCAGUUCUAGGUUCCUUGACUCCAUCUUCCCUGUGCUGGUCCUUCCACAGAAUGCUCCCACGCCAGAGGUUUCCAUCCGGAAAGUGGAGACACCGCCUCACUCCUGAAAACCAGUUCACAGUUCAUGAAGCUGUUUCAGCUGCAUUACCUCACAAUUAAUUUGUUUUUUAAAUAACGUGUGCUGAAUGCCGACGUAACGCCAGCUGCUGUUCCAGCUCGUAGCAUCUAAUUCUCUCCACCAUGUGGAGUGGGCAGUGCAUAUUUCCAUUUUACAGACUCGGAUCCUGAGGGCCAGGACAGGGGCCACGGGCUAGGAGAGAGGCGCCUGCUGACCAGGGAUCCAUACAAAAUGAGACCACCCCCCUCGAGUGCUUUGAAAGCCAUACCCCAGUGCAAACAUGUCCAACCUCCUUUUCCAGGGUCCUGGGAAGACUAAAGGGGCUGCUUGAGAGGGAAGAACUCCCGGAAAUGUUAGUGGCUGCUGUCUCUCCAUCACUCUGUGAUUUUCAGGGAGCUUGACAUCACGGGCUGUCAGGACUGACAGCCUGCUUAUGGCUGGGUCAGGAGGGUUUACUGGCUUUGCAGAAAGCAGAACCUAGAAACCGGGGUUGGGAGAAGUUAGGUCAUUUGCCUAAGGCCACAGGGUGGUUUGGGAAGUGAAACUAUACAUUCAAUGCUCGACAUCUCCAGAGGCUUGGUGGCCUUGGAUGGCCGACUUAUUUUUCCAAGGAGCCCUGGGUUCUGAGGGCUGAGUCACCGUGAUUGGUCACUGCGCAGGGCUGGGCAGACCGGCCUGCAGCUGGGCCUUCACAGGCUGGGCGGCGACGGGCUUCCGUGGGUCUUAGUGGGGGCUCAUGGGUCCUUCUUGAGGGUCUUCCGUGGGUCCUUGGUGGGGUCUCGGUGAGGAAUUUGUGGGAUUUCAUUGGGGCUCCUUAGGGUCUCAGAGGGGGCUCCUCGAGGUCUCAGUGGCGAUUCCGUGGGAGAUCGGUGGGGGCUCCGUAAGAGCUCCGUGGGGUGGUCUCCGCGGGGCCGGGUCUGCGCCGGCUCGGGCCCUUGCUUGGGUUGCGGGGUGCAGAAGCUUCGCCAGUCCCGGGAUGCCCGGAGUCUGGGGUCAGCUCGGACGACCCCUUCCUUGUACGGCCAGGUGUCCUGGAGAGGUCGGCUGGGGCGUGACAGCUUUGUCCUGGGUCG
rnacentral:lncRNA from 1 species